rnacentral:rRNA from 1 species
GACAGAGGGUGCAAACGUUGUUCGGAAUUACUGGGCGUAAAGCGCAUGUAGGCGGUUCGUAAAGUCGGAUGUGAAAGCCCUGGGCUUAACCCAGGAAGUGCAUUUGAAACUCACGAACUUGAGUCCCGGAGAGGAAGGCGGAAUUCUCGGUGUAGAGGUGAAAUUCGUAGAUAUCGAGAGGAACAUCGGUGGCGAAGGCGGCCUUCUGGACGGUGACUGACGCUGAGAUGCGAAAGCGUGGGGAGCAAACAGG